rnacentral:rRNA from 1 species
GAUGAACGCUGGCGGCGUGCCUAAUACAUGCAAGUCGAGCGAACAGACGAGGAGCUUGCUCCUCUGACGUUAGCGGCGGACGGGUGAGUAACACGUGGAUAACCUACCUAUAAGACUGGGAUAACUUCGGGAAACCGGAGCUAAUACCGGAUAAUAUAUUGAACCGCAUGGUUCAAUAGUGAAAGACGGUUUUGCUGUCACUUAUAGAUGGAUCCGCGCCGCAUUAGCUAGUUGGUAAGGUAACGGCUUACCAAGGCAACGAUGCGUAGGCGACCUGAGAGGGUGAUAGGCCACACUGGAACUGAGACACGGUCCAGACUCCUACGGGAGGCAGCAGUAGGGAAUCUUCCGCAAUGGGCGAAAGCCUGACGGAGCAACGCCGCGUGAGUGAUGAAGGUCUUCGGAUCGUAAAACUCUGUUAUUAGGGAAGAACAAAUGUGUAAGUAACUAUGCACGUCUUGACGGUACCUAAUCAGAAAGCCACGGCUAACUACGUG